AUUGAACGCUGGCGGCAGGCUUAACACAUGCAAGUCGAGCGGGGUGAUGGUGCUUGCACUAUCACUUAGCGGCGGACGGGUGAGUAAUGCUUAGGAAUCUGCCUAUUAGUGGGGGACAACAUCUCGAAAGGGAUGCUAAUACCGCAUACGUCCUACGGGAGAAAGCCGGGGAUCACUUGUGACCUUGCGCUAAUAGAUGAGCCUAAGUCGGAUUAGCUAGUUGGCGGGGUAAAGGCCUACCAAGGCGACGAUCUGUAGCGGGUCUGAGAGGAUGAUCCGCCACACUGGGACUGAGACACGGCCCAGACUCCUACGGGAGGCAGCAGUGGGGAAUAUUGGACAAUGGGGGGAACCCUGAUCCAGCCAUGCCGCGUGUGUGAAGAAGGCCUUAUGGUUGUAAAGCACUUUAAGCGAGGAGGAGGCUCUUUUGGUUAAUACCCAAGAUGAGUGGACGUUACUCGCAGAAUAAGCACCGGCUAACUCUGUGCCAGCAGCCGCCGUAA
rnacentral:rRNA from 1 species